GGCAGGCCGGGGCAGCAAGAUGGUGUCGCAGACACAAGUCCUCAUGCCCCUGGUACUCUGGCUCUCUGGUGCCUAUGGGGACAUCGUGAUGACCCAGUCUCCAGACUCUCUGGCUGUGUCUCUGGGCGAGAGGGUCACCGUCAACUGCAAGUCCAGCCAGAGUCUUUUAUACUUCAACAAUAAGAACUACUUAGCCUGGUACCAGCAGAAACCAGGACAGGAUCCUAAGCUGCUUAUCUCAUGGGCGUCGAGCCGGCCAGCAGAGGUCCCUGACCAAUUCAGUGGCAGCGGGUCUGGGACAGAUUUCACUCUCACCAUCAAUAGCCUGCAGGCUGAAGAUGUGGGACUUUAUUACUGUCAGCAGUAUUACAGCUUUCCUCCCACACAAACCUCCUCCCCACCCAUCUGGGCCAGUGACUCUCUGCUGCAGCAUCUGCUUCCUCUGCACACAGCCCCAAACAUGCAUGCUUCCUCUGUCUGUCGGGGAGGUCGCACUAUUGAUUUAUUCCUUGGAGGGUUUGCAGGGCCCAGGAUAAAAUUAAGGGAUUUGGCUUUUUCUGGAUUUUUUCUAGAAGAUGAUUGAAGCAAAAUGUUCUAAAGAUCCCUUAGAGACAUUCUCAGGAGUGUUACAGGAGCCUGCAUGUUUCACAUGGACAGAUCGCAUGACCAAGCCAAAUACAUUUAUCUUUACUCU